rnacentral:rRNA from 1 species
AUGGCCCAGGCGACCACACUUGAAGCAUUCCACAUCAGGGAUCUCUUCCACCAGAAUGGGCGCAUCGGCCGAGCCUUUGGGGCCAGCCGGCAGGGCCACCGCGAGCGGCGCAGUGCUGGCGCGAGGCUUCUUGGCCAGUGGGUCGCCAUGGUUGGGGAGCGGCGCAGAUUUCUGCUCCAACUCUCUGCGCCUGCGCCCUUCCUUCUUCAAACGCUUCCGCUCUUAUUGCUGGAUCCACCAAGGGGGAGGGGACCCCAAUCCCCCUCACUCCCUCCUUGCGCGGCCGCGGAUCCGCGUGCAUCACGCGCCUCACGGCCGUCGCGACCACCCUGCCGGCCACCCAUGGCGCUGUUGGCCUUCUCACGGAGCGCUUUCUCCCGCCGCAGCUCCGCGUCUUGCUCCCCCGCCACCAUUGGACGCUUGUCCGCUCGUCGAUCCCCCAUCACCGCCGCCGCAAAGGAAAUGGAAAGAGGAGGGGGAGGGGAAAGAAUGCGAAUGGAUCUCGCAGUGUGA